rnacentral:rRNA from 1 species
UGUUUAUUGACCCACUCUAAUAAAUAAUUUCUGCCCAGUGAUUUUUCAACGGCCGCGGUAUUCUGACCGUGCAAAGGUAGCAUAAUCAUUUGCCUUUUUAUUGGAGGCUAGAAUGAAUGAAUAAACAUAGGUAAAACUGUACCUUAUAUUUUUUUAAAAAUUAUUCCUCAGGUGAAGAAACCUGAAUAUUAUAAAAAGACAAAAAGACCCUAUCAAGCUUUAUAUUUUCUAAUAACUUUUAUUUAAAAUAUUUGGUUGGGGUGACUAUUGAGAUAUAAUUUACCCUCAAUUUUUUAUUAGAAAAACAUUUCAUAUUUAUUUUAUUAUCUUUAAAGAAAAAGCUACUGUAGGGAUAACAGGCUAAUAUUAUUUUAGAGUUCAAAUUAAAAAUAAUGAUUGGCACCUCGAUGUUGGCUUAGGGACCCUAUUUUCCGCAAAAGGAAAAAAAGAUAGUUUGUUCAACUAUUAAACCCCU